AAGACAUUGCACAUACAUAAGCAUUCGCAACCUUUGCUCAGUACUUUGUUGAUGCACCUUUGGCAGCAAUUACAGCCUCAAGUCUUCUUGAAUAUGUUGCCACAAGCCUGGCGCACCGAUCUUUGGGCAGUUUUGUCCA